UCACCCGUGUCCUUUCUCUGCCUAG
rnacentral:miRNA from 1 species